ACGAACGCUGGCGGCAUGCCUCACCCAUGCCAGUCGAACGAGACCUUCGGGUCUAGUGGCGCACGGGUGCGUAACGCGUGGGAACCUGCCCUUAGGUUCGGAAUAACUCCCCGCAAGGGGUGCUAAUACCGGAUAAUGUCUUCGGACCAAAGAUUUAUCGCCUUUGGAUGGGCCCGCGUUGGAUUAGCUAGUUGGUAGGGUAAAAGCCUACCAAGGCGACGAUCCAUAGCUGGUCUGAGAGGAUGAUCAGCCACACUGGGACUGAGACACGGCCCAGACUCCUACGGGAGGCAGCAGUGGGGAAUAUUGGACAAUGGGCGAAAGCCUGAUCCAGCAAUGCCGCGUGAGUGAUGAAGGCCUUAGGGUUGUAAAGCUCUUUUACCCGGGAUGAUAAUGACAGUACCGGGAGAAUAAGCUCCGGCUAACUCCGUG
rnacentral:rRNA from 1 species